rnacentral:rRNA from 1 species
UCCUACGGGAGGCAGCAGUGGGGAAUCUUAGACAAUGGGGGCAACCCUGAUCUAGCCAUGCCGCGUGAGUGAUGAAGGCCUUAGGGUCGUAAAGCUCUUUCGCCAGGGAUGAUAAUGACAGUACCUGGUAAAGAAACCCCGGCUAACUCCGUGCCAGCAGCCGCGGUAAUACGGAGGGGGUUAGCGUUGUUCGGAAUUACUGGGCGUAAAGCGCGCGUAGGCGGACUAUUAAGUCAGAGGUGAAAUCCCAGGGCUCAACCCUGGAACUGCCUUUGAUACUGGUAGUCUUGAGUUCGAGAGAGGUGAGUGGAAUUCCGAGUGUAGAGGUGAAAUUCGUAGAUAUUCGGAGGAACACCAGUGGCGAAGGCGGCUCACUGGCUCGAUACUGACGCUGAGGUGCGAAAGUGUGGGGAGCAAACAGGAUUAGAUACCCUGGUAGUCCACACCGUAAACGAUGAAUGCCAGACGUCGGGCAGCAUGCUGUUCGGUGUCACACCUAACGGAUUAAGCAUUCCGCCUGGGGAGUACGGUCGCAAGAUUAAAACUCAAAUGAAUUGACGGA